ACAACUCUUCUCGCUCAUCAAUUAUCUUCAAUGAUUUGAAAAUCCAUUUUGAUCUUAUAUAUCUUCAGAUUUGUCAAUUGGGCCUGUUCAAGGACCAUCUACCAGUGGGCCUAAGACUUUGGAUUUGUGAAUUUUUAUAGGCAAUUUUGAUGCAUGAGGGGGAAGAAAAACAGGAAAUUGAAUUGACAAAGAAGAUUGUGAAUGAUGUGUUUCCUCAAACAAAGAGGAGGCGGAAGCGGCAUUGUUGCUCGCGGCGGGUGGUCUGUUGGGCCUGCUUGACGCAUUGCUGGUACGAGUCCAAGACCUCCUCGAAGCGCUGGCAGGAGCGGAAGCGGCAGCCCUGCACCUGCUGCCUGCAUUGGUUAUAGUUUUCGCUGGCGUCUUCGUCGAAGGUGGCGGUUAGUGCUAGUGCUGCCUUGGUUGCCAUUAUGAUAUAUAUAUGCGAGAGAGAAUUAAGAUGCAAUACCAAUCGAGAAUCAUGAUUCAUGGCCAUCGCCGACUCAGAUCUACAUUACCGGAGAAUGAAGAUAGCGUUAAACAACGACCAGUGAGCAAUCAAUGAAACCGCUGUUUUUUUUUUCAUGCGACAAGGUAUAGAUUAGUACAGUAGUUUCAAUGCAUGACCGACGAACAAAGUGCGUGUUAGCAUCUACGAAAUGCAGUAGAAUGUAGCAUUCGUAUUUGCAAUGGAAUGUUUGAAUGUGCAGAUUAGAGUUUUAUCGGAAGUGCAGAUUUGGUUAAUUGUCAAGGAAAAUUAAUUUAUGGAGUAUGUUUUAAAUCUUUUGCAAUUUUAUAGCCUGAGGGGAUUAUGUUGUUUUACUUUUACUCCAUCACUAAUUAUAAUCAUACUCACUCUUUACCUUGUUAUGUUGCAAAAGUUUGAACUUCACCUAAUUUGCUUCGGUUUGUGUUAGAUUUUCUUGCAUUAUAAGAUAGAUUAAACUCAUGUCCUAGAGAUGUAAAAGUGAAAUUAAGCUUAACUGUAGCUCUGUCAAUUCUUAGUUGAAGUAGUGCAAUGUUUGGUGCCCUACAAAAUUAAGAUUUACUGUAGCUCUCUAUGCUUAAAAGUUAAAGUGCUUCAGGCUGGUUUUGAUGUGAGGCCUUCGAUUAUGUCCAUGCGGUUUCCAACUGCUCUCCCUUUCAUCUUAUGAUAUUUUCUCUCUUGCAGUUCAUCUUUUGUUGCUGUUUACUGAGAGAAUGGUAUAAAAUCGUAUACCAUACGCUCAGCAUAUUUAUCCCAACGUUAGGACAUUGAAAGGCUUCAUAUACAAUUAAGAAUGGUGUAGUAAAAGUCAGCCAUUCGCAAAGGGUUUCCCUAACUGACAAUAGGAAUUUCUGCACAAGAUCAUAUGCAUGUUAGAAUAUUGUGAAGGAGGUUUCUAGUGUUGGCCAUUAUUUCUACGAUUAAGGCAGCAGGCGCAGUCAACUUUUUCUCUGUCCUGUUUUUGUAAAACAAUCCAUUAAAGGUCCUGCAUGAUAAGAAUUAAGAAGAAAUGACUUUACGAUGUGGGAGACUCUGGAACGUCAUGAAUCACAUAAAUGAGUUAAUGGUGUAAAUGAUUUAGCAUAAGAAAUUUGAAUUAUCUGACAGAAGAAUGUUUGUGAAAUGGAUCUUAGGAUCACUAUGGAGCAGUAUGUUUGUACUUGCUUGUGUAUCAUUCUUCCUGUUUGGAGAGCAAAAAUGUUUCCUUCGAUAUAGAGUUUAAUAUCGAGUCCGAUGCUGAUGAUGUACAAAUACUUAA